GUGGGUAUAGCUCAGCGGGAGAGCACGUGCUUAGCAUGCACGAGGUCCUGGGUUCAAUUCCCAGUCCCUCUA
rnacentral:tRNA from 1 species